ACCCUUAUAAAAACUUCUUCUUCUCAGCCAUUUGAGGGGGGGGACCCUAACAGAAAAGGGAGGGUCGAUUGCGAGAGAGAGAUAGUGAGAUCGACUUAGAGGAGAGCAAGCCGAAUGAGUACGAGAUUCUGGAGAGGAAGUAGGAUCUUAAAAUAGCUAGUCUGAUCUAGAGAAGGAUGGGUAGAAAGAAUACGAAGAUCUAAAGAGGAAUCGAUGGCAUUGGGUUACGGCAUGGCCAAGGAGGACUUGAGAGAGAACCAACAUUACAAGUAAACAUCCACGUGGUGAUAGGAGAUAUGACAAAUUUGGAUUCCAAACACCAAAAUAGAGAUCUAUAUAUUU
rnacentral:lncRNA from 1 species